rnacentral:lncRNA from 1 species
GAUUGCUUUUAAUGAUGGAUUUAUAAUAGAUACAUCUAUCACAAAAAAUAUGUCAUAAAUCUGAUCCAUAUGCUAAUCCAUUGCCAUUGAUCCUGACAUGGAUGAGCAACUUUUCUUUUAACAAUGAGUAAGAUGGCAUCGGAUCAAGAUCUAUGACUAAGUUGUUCGAAAGUGGUGGCAAGCAAAGGCAUAUGGAGAGAGAGAUGACUAAGAGCAGUGCAAUCAAUAUUGAGAGGUGGGGAUAGAGAUCGGGAAAGAGGUGGAUAACCAAGGAUGAUAUGGAGAAAUAGGAUUAGACCUAGAGGGUGGUGGAGGAGGCAAGGGGGAUCGAGAUAGAGGUGAGUGGCCAGAGGUGGAGGAGAUCGGGAAAGAUGCAACCAAGCUAGAAAGGGAUUAGAAGAUAGGUAGCCAAUUGUGGGGGAAGG